rnacentral:rRNA from 1 species
GACGAACGCUGGCGGCGUGCCUAACACAUGCAAGUCGAGCGAGUGAAUCUCCUUCGGGAGUGAAGCUAGCGGCGGACGGGUGAGGAACACGUGGGCAACCUGCCUCAUAGAGGGGAAUAGCCUUUCGAAAGGAAGAUUAAUACCGCAUAAGAUUGUAGCUUCGCAUGAAGUAGCAAUUAAAGGAGCAAUCCGCUAUGAGGUGGGCCCGCGGCGCAUUAGCUAGUUGGUGAGGUAACGGCUCACCAAGGCGACGAUGCGUAGCCGACCUGAGAGGGUGAUCGGCCACAUUGGGACUGAGACACGGCCCAGACUCCUACGGGAGGCAGCAGUGGGGAAUAUUGCACAAUGGGGGAAACCCUGAUGCAGCAACGCCGCGUGAGUGAUGACGGCCUUCGGGUUGUAAAGCUCUGUCUUCAGGGACGAUAAUGACGGUACCUGAGGAGGAAGCCACGGCUAACUACGUGCCAGCAGCCGCCGUAACAC